rnacentral:lncRNA from 1 species
UUUGAAAUUCAGACUUGUCACAUUUAAAGUUACAAUAAGUACGAGUCAAUGUCUAGCAUGUAACUUGUGGAUUAGAGUACAUAGAGCAGAAAAUUAAAUUGGGAAACAGCUAUAGUCUUUGUCAAUCAAAAAAGUAUUUUGAUAUGAUAUUGCAGUGUAAGAAUAAUAAAGCUAGAAUCAAUGUUGUUCAAGCAAAAAUCCCGGAGCAUGUUGCGGCAAUCACUGCUACAGUUUCAUAACAGAAAUCGUUCAUAAUCUAAACUAAACAUCUUCAAAUGACAAUUCCCUGAAAGUAUAAAAGUUAAAAACCAACAUAAGCAACUAUCUGAUGAUAACAACUCAAAGAAAUUUAAGAAAACAGAACACUAUCCAAGUCCUUUGAGAUUCAAACCUUCAUCUCCAGUUCAAUAUAUAUGUACAGAGUAUUGUUGUUCCAAGCACAUACACAAAAAAGAAAAAAAAAUCUAAGCAAAUUAAAACCUAAUAAUCUAUCAGCAAUCAGAACAAACAGGAUCAACUAUGACUAUAAACUCUCAAAAUUAUAUUUAGAUGAAUGAUCAAGCAGAACACAAUCCGAGAUUUGCAACUUCAUCCCAAUUUCAAAUAACGAAGUAUACAUAAUAUGUUGAUCCGAGCAAAUCAAGCAAAAAUAUUAGCCAAAACUAAUCAAAAGCAUAUCAAAUCAUCCGGAAUCUAAGCUCCACAUCGGGCUGGCAAAAAACAUUAUUGCAUAUCAUUAUCGGAGUAUCCGACCAAAACACUGGACAUGUGAAUAUGCGCAAACAUGUGCCAUGUUUAGUUUAAAAUUUUAAGGUUACACCAUGCAGUUAAUUGAAUUGUAUAUAUAAAAAUAGUUCCACUAUAAAUAAGAUCAUGCGGCUCAACCAAAUCAACAUACCAAAGAGG